rnacentral:rRNA from 1 species
AUCUUGCGCAAUGGCCGAAAGGCUGACGCAGCGACGCCGCGUGCGGGAGGAAGCUCUUCGGGGUGUAAACCGCUGUCGGGAGGGACGAAGGUCCAGGGGAGGAAAUGCCUUUGGGAUGACGGUACCUCCAGCGGAAGCACCGGCUAACUCCGUGCCAGCAGCCGCGGUAAUACGGAGGGUGCGAGCGUUGUUCGGAAUUAUUGGGCGUAAAGCGCACGUAGGCGGCUCGGUAAGUCUCACUGUGAAAGCCCGGGGCUCAACCCCGGGAGGCCAGGGGAUACUGUCGAGCUGGAGACAGGCAGAGGCUGGUGGAAUUCCGGGUGUAGCGGUGGAAUGCGUAGAGAUCCGGAGGAACACCGGAGGCGAAGGCGGCCAGCUGGGCCUGGUCUGACGCUGAGGUGCGAAAGCGUGGGGAGCGAACAGG